AUACGGAGGGAGCAAGCGUUAUUCGGAAUCACUGGGCGUAAAAGACGCGUAGGCGGGUUUGUAAGUCAGGUGUGAAAUCCUACAGCUCGACUGUAGAACUGCACUUGAAACUACAGACCUAGAGUAUGGAAGGGGCAGAUGGAAUUAGUGUGUAGGGGUAAAAUCCGUAGAUAUCACUAGGAAUACCGAAAGCGAAGGCGAUCUGCUGGGACAUUACUGACGCUGAGGCGUGAAAGCGUGGGGAGCAGACAGGAUUAGAUACCCUAGUAGUCC
rnacentral:rRNA from 1 species